UUUCCGUUGGUGAACCUGCGGAAGGAUCAUUAUUGUAUAACCGAGGUGCGAGGGCUGUCGCUGACCCGAAAGGUCGUGCACGCCCGAGUGCCCUCACACACAUCCAUCUCACCCCUAUGUGCACCACCGCGUGGGUCCCCCUUUGGCUUGUUCGGAGGGGGGCUUACGUUUUCACACAAACUUUGUAUGCAGUGUAGAAUGUAUUUUUUGUUUUUGCGAUCACGCAAUCAAUACAACUUUCAACAACGGAUCUCUUGGCUCUC
rnacentral:misc_RNA from 1 species